GGAGGAAGGUGGGGAUGACGUCAAGUCCUCAUGGCCCUUACAGGCUGGGCUACACACGUGCUACAAUGGCAUCUACAGUGAGCAGCGAUCCCGCGAGGGUUAGCUAAUCUCCAAAAGAUGUCUCAGUUCGGAUUGUUCUCUGCAACUCGAGAGCAUGAAGGCGGAAUCGCUAGUAAUCGCGGAUCAGCAUGCCGCGGUGAAUACGUUCCCAGGCCUUGUACACACCGCCCGU
rnacentral:rRNA from 1 species